rnacentral:antisense_RNA from 1 species
CUUGAUGGUAGCUGUGCGCAUGGCAUCUUCGGGUGCGCCGGAUCUUGAGUCUUCUACCGGUCUACUAACUUGCGCACAGCUGCCUCCCCU